CAUGCAAGUCGAGCAAGAAGCUAACUUCGGUUAGUGGACAGCGGCGCACGGGUGAGUAACGCGUGGGAAUUUACCUUUCGGCGGGGGACAACAGUUGGAAACGACUGCUAAUACCGCAUACGCCCUACGGGGGAAAGAUUUAUCACCGAAAGAUAGGCCCGCGCUAGAUUAGGUAGUUGGUAGGGUCAAAGCCUACCAAGCCGACGAUCUAUAGCUGGUUUGAGAGAACGAUCAGCCACACUGGAACUGAGACACGGUCCAGACUCCUACGGGAGGCAGCAGUGGGGAAUCUUGCACAAUGGGCGAAAGCCUGAUGCAGCCAUGCCGCGUGAGUGAGAAGGCCUUCGGGUUGUAAAACUCUUUUAGAUGUGAAGAUGAUGACGGUAACAUCAGAAAAAGCACCGGCUAACUUCGUGCCAGCAGCCGCGGUAAUACGAAGGGUGCUAGCGUUGUUCGGAAUUACUGGGCGUAAAGAGCGUGUAGGCGGCUUAGCAAGUUAGAGGUGAAAUCCCAGGGCUCAACCCUGGAACUGCCUUUGAUACUGCUAAGCUUGAGAUCGUGAGGGGAUAGCGGAAUACCCAGUGUAGAGGUGAAAUUCGU
rnacentral:rRNA from 1 species